UUAUAGAAUUACAUAUAUAUUCAAAGGAGGGGUAAUUGUUUCACAGCUGAUUUGUAAAAAAAGUAAAGCAGGUUGUUACACAGUUAUGUUACAGUAAAGCAGGUUGUUACACAGUUACGUUAGAGUAAAGCAGGUUGUUACACGGUUACGUUAGAGUAAAGCAGGUUGUUACACGGUUACGUUAGAGUAAAGCAGGUUGUUACACGGUUACGUUAGAGUAAAGCAGGUUGUUACACAGUUACGUUAGAGUAAAGCAGGUUGUUACACAGUUACGUUAGAGUAAAGCAGGUUGUUACACGGUUACGUUAGAGUAAAGCGGGUUGUUACACGGUUACGUUAGAGUAAAGCGGGUUGUUACACGGUUACGUUAGAGUAAAGCAGGUUGUUACACAGUUACGUUAGAGUAAAGCAGGUUGUUACACGGUUACAUUAGAGUAAAGCAGGUUGUUACACGGUUACGUUAGAGUAAAGCAGGUUGUUACACGGUUACGUUAGAGUAAAGCGGGUUGUUACACGGUUACGUUAGAGUAAAGCAGGUUGUUACACGGUUACGUUAGAGUAAAGCAGGUUGUUACACGGUUACGUUAGAGUAAAGCGGGUUGUUACACGGUUACGUUAGAGUAAAGCAGGUUGUUACACGGUUACGUUAGAGUAAAGCAGGUUGUUACACGGUUACGUUAGAGUAAAGCAGGUUGUUACACGGUUACGUUAGAGUAAAGCAGGUUGUUACACGGUUACGUUAGAGUAAAGCAGGUUGUUACACAGUGAGAGCCAAUUUUAAACUGAAGUCAAAAUAGACAAUUCUCUACACUGAAUACAAUGUAAUAUAAUAUGUUAUUUUAUAGAAUAAAACCCUGGCUUUC